UAUCAUACAUAUUUCUGAAAGCGACGCCCUGAAAACGGCCCUUCAUCAUCACCACCUCCAUCAUCCUCUGGUCCAACUCCAUCGGUGUCCACAAAGGUUAUUUGCAGUUCACUCAUUUGGGGAGUAGGCUGAAGGUCCUACAGGUUGAGCUCAGACAAGAUGAGGAGUAUAGGAACAGGCUUCUGGUAGAAGCUACUCAGAGGCUUGUCAGUAUGUCGCUCCAAUAGGACUUGAAAAGCUAGAAGUUAAAGCAUAAAUAUGUCCUUGUUUCCUCUCCUCUCUACACACGUGCUACUGGUCCAAAUCCAAUUGGUGAAUGCCACCCGCAAUGCUACAACUAGGCUUGUUACUGAUUUCCCUUUAUCGUACACUACUUUUGCAACACAAAGGCUUGGUUUCUGCUUGUUCCUCCACUUUAGAAAGGAAACUGUUAUCGAUGGUGAAUUCACUAUAUGUGCAUGUAAUUUUUAAAAAAUGGACAAUUCCCCUGUGCUUUAUUGUAUCUGCCUGUUUCUAGACCUCUAUAAUUCAUGAAAUUUGAAAU